UACGUAGGGGGCAAGCGUUGUUCGGAAUUACUGGGCGUAAAGGGCGCGUAGGCGGUACGACAAGUCGGGAGUGAAAGCCCGGGGCUCAACCCCGGGACUGCUUUCGAAACUGUCGAACGUGAGUGCAGAAGAGGCAACUGGAAUUCCCAGUGUAGCGGUGAAAUGCGUAGAUAUUGGGAAGAACACCUGAGGCGAAGGCGGGUUGCUGGGCUGACACUGACGCUGAGGCGCGAAAGCCAGGGGAGCGAACGGG
rnacentral:rRNA from 1 species